UCAGCCGGCACCGGAAGCGCUCGGCGGGCGCUGGGACCUACAGGAAGUGUGUGGCGACGCCCGCGGAAGGCGCUCGACCUGCGGCGCUCGCUGCCCCAAGGGGGCGAAGGCCAACCUCCUGUCACGGACACGCGCAGCCUUGAGCCCGCCGAACUCGGUCCCUUCCGCUCGGACAGGCACCAUCGGAGAGUCUUAGUGGAAUGGCUAAAAGACCCCUCUCAAGAGCUGGAGUUCAUUGCUGAUAUUCUUAAUCAGGAUGCAAAGAAUUAUGCAUGGCAGCAUCGACAGUGGGUCAUUCAGGAAUUUCUACUUUGGGAUAAUGAGCUACAGUAUGUAGACCAGCUUCUCAAAGAGGAUGUGCGAAAUAACUCUGUCUGGCACCAAAGACAUUUCGUCAUUUCUAAUACCACUGGCUACAGUGAUCGUGCUGUGUUGGAAAGAGAAGUCCACCCUGAGUCUGCAAUCCCCAACUCUCAAUCAUAUCCCUCUUCAUUAAUCCAGAAUGCUUCCCUGGACUGGAGUUAGCUGUGAGACAGAUUAAGGUAUUUUACCAAGAGAACCAUCUCCCUGGACAUUGGAAACAGUGUUUUGAUGUCAAGAGUUUUUAUGGAAGUGGGUUUGCACUAUCUCUGCCAAUCACCCAUCCCCGUUUAUCUUUGGUAGAAACCAAG